CCUACGGGAAGCUGCAGUGGGGAAUAUUGGACAAUGGGCGAAAGCCUGAUCCAGCCAUGCCGCGUGUGUGAAGAAGGCCUUCGGGUUGUAAAGCACUUUCAGUGGGGAAGAAAGCCUUGGGGCUAAUACCCUCGAGGAAGGACAUCACCCACAGAAGAAGCACCGGCUAACUCCGUGCCAGUAGCCGCGGUAAUACGGAGGGUGCGAGCGUUAAUCGGAAUUACUGGGCGUAAAGCGCGCGUAGGCGGUCUGAUAAGCCGGUUGUGAAAGCCCCGGGCUCAACCUGGGAACGGCAUCCGGAACUGUCAGGCUAGAGUGCAGGAGAGGAAGGUAGAAUUCCCGGUGUAGCGGUGAAAUGCGUAGAGAUCGGGAGGAAUACCAGUGGCGAAGGCGGCCUUCUGGACUGACACUGACGCUGAGGUGCGAAAGCGUGGGUAGCAAACAGGAUUAGAUACCCGUGUAGUC
rnacentral:rRNA from 1 species